GAGGGGAGUGGAACCUCAACCCAACAUGUUAUCGUGAUAGAGUCUGCAGAUGCAGAGGCUGCAGGUCUUGGAGUCAAGCAGGAGACGUCUGAAAGAGAGGAGGACCUACGACACAGCAGAGACAUCCAGAUUGGAGCAGCGCCUGGAGUGGUGCCCCCUGUAGCCAUCGAGGACUUCACCACCACCACUGCGCCCCAGGCCAGGUCCCGAUUUAGCAUCACGGAGGAGGAGGAGGAUCCAGAGGUGCUGCUGGUGAAGGAGGAGGG